UACGUAGGGUGCGAGCGUUGUCCGGAAUUAUUGGGCGUAAAGGGCUCGUAGGCGGGCUGUCGCGUCGGGAGUGAAAACUCAGGGCUUAACCCUGAGCCUGCUUCCGAUACGGGCAGACUAGAGGUAUGCAGGGGAGAACGGAAUUCCUGGUGUAGCGGUGGAAUGCGCAGAUAUCAGGAGGAACACCGGUGGCGAAGGCGGUUCUCUGGGCAUUACCUGACGCUGAGGAGCGAAAGUGUGGGGAGCGAACAGG
rnacentral:rRNA from 1 species